GAUGAACGCUGGCGGCGUGCCUAAUACAUGCAAGUCGAGCGAACAGACGAGGAGCUUGCUCCUCUGACGUUAGCGGCGGACGGGUGAGUAACACGUGGAUAACCUACCUCUCAGACUGGGAUAACUUCGGGAAACCGGAGCUAAUACCGGAUAAUAUAUUGAACCGCAUGGUUCAAUAGUGAAAGACGGUUUUGCUGUCACUUAUAGAUGGAUCCGCGCCGCAUUAGCUAGUUGGGAAGGUAACGGCUUACCAAGGCAAGGAUGCGUAGACGACCUGAGAGGGUGAGCGGCCACAUUGUAACAGAGACACGGUACAGACUCCGACGGUGGGCAGCAGUAGGGAAUCUUCCGCAAUGGACGAAAGCCUGACGUAGCAACGCCGCGUGAAUGAUGAAGGUCUUAUGAUCGUAAAACGCUGAUAUUAGGGAAGAACAAAUGUGUAAGUAACUAUGCACGUCUUGACGGUACCUAAUCAGAAAGCCACGGCUAACUACGUG
rnacentral:rRNA from 1 species